GCCUACGGGGCGCAGCAGUAGGGAAUUUUCGUCAAUGGGCGCAAGCCUGAACGAGCGAUGCCGCGUGAGUGAAGGAAGCCUUCGGGUCGUAAAGCUCUGUUGCGGGGGAAAAAAGGCAGCAUCAGGAAAUGGGUGCUGACUGAUGGUGCCACGCCAGAAAGGCACGGCUAACUACGUGCCAGCAGCCGCGGUAAUACGUAGGUGGCGAGCGUUAUCCGGAAUGAUUGGGCGUAAAGGGUGCACAGGCGGUCCUGCAAGACUGGAGUGAAACGCAUGAGCUCAACGCAUGCAUGGCUUUGGA
rnacentral:rRNA from 1 species